CUUCAUCAAAAUCCCUCCCACCAAGAUUUCUGUCAAACGAAUGAGCCAAUAUCUUCAAUUCGCCUUUCUUAAAGCCAGCAAUACAAACUUGCAAGCUUGCAUGCCCAACGUCAACAAAAGCAACAUUCACUGGGUCAUUUUCAGGUAAAUCUGUCUUGUAAAUACCAUACGCUAAUGCAGUAGCUGUUGUCUCAUGAAUUAGAUGCAAAGGAUGCAAGCCAGCAAUGGUGGCUGCAUCCAUUACAGCUCUUCUCUGGAGAUCAGUGAAAUAAAUUGGAAUUCCAAUGCAACAAUCAACUACUACUGCAUUGAGAUUCUUCUCUGCUAUAGUUUUGAGAUCCGAAAAUACCAUUCCAAGAACCUGGGUAGGUGUAAAAGUUCUCACUUCUCCCAAAUAUCGCGCAUGGAUCAGGGGAUAUCCAUCAGGCCCUUCAGUUACUAAGAAGGGAAGUGUCUUAAUAUCUCUUUGCAGCUCGGGAUCUGAAAAUUGCCGUCCUAUUAGCCUCUUUAUCUGGGAGAUGGUAUUCUUUGGAUUCAUCAUGCUUGAUGCUGCACCAGCAGUACCGAGAAAUCUUUGCUUCUCUCCGAAGCAGACUAUAGCUGGAGUUUCCCUUUUUGAUUCAUCAUUAAGUACGACAUCAAUUCCUCUCUGCCUAGCAACCGCAACAACGCCUCUCUCAUUCCCGAAGUCAAAACCAACCACGCUCAUCUUUUCUGGCUGCGAUAACUACAGCACAAAGAAAGUACCUAGACCACAUCAAAAGACAAGAAUCAACUAAAACGCCAGCAUCCUCUGUGUGUGAAUCUACAUGAAAGAAGCCAUGGGUUUUAAAUGGUAGCACCCAAGAGCAACAUCAAAAAGUGAUUGAUUUUCAAUUAAUAAGCUAAGAAAGCCGAUCACUCGUGGACGGGCUUUCUUGGAAUGCGAUUACUCUAUACAGUAAUUAGUAACUAUGAAUUCACAGAAGAGGGCAAAUAAGUUCUCUCUUUUCUUUUAAGUAAAGAGAGUGAAUAAGAUGGCGUGAAGUGAUCAACAAUCUCCAGCUAGGAAAGCUGAUCACUCGUGGACGGGCUUUCUUGGAAUGCAAUUACUCUAUACAGUAAUUAUGGAUACACAGAAGAGAGCAAAUAAGUUUCCUUUUUAGUAAAGAGUGAAUAAGAUGGCGUGACGUGAUCAACAAUCUCCAGACACGUUCAAAAACGUCAACAAUCAAAAUAACAUAGACUCAAAGUUCAAGAAUGAUUCUUCUUUUUCUAUUUCCCCAAUAUCCAAAGUAUCCAAAGUUCAAGUACACAAUUUUUAUCUAAUUUUACUACCAAGGAAACUUUCAUGCGAGAAUGAACUCGCACACCUACCGACAAGGCAGGAAACUACAGUAAACCACCAACGCAAACUCAAUUUUUUUAAUAUACAAUCUAGCAAUACACCAAAUCCCUAUAUUUAACCUAUAUAAAUUUUAACAAAUAGGCUCCACAUUGCCUUAUAUAAACUUAAGAGCCUAUUUGGAUUGACUUUGACUUAUGACUUACAAGCCAAAAGCCAUUAGUUAGAAAUCCUAACUUAUAACUUUUGACUUAGAUCCAAAUGCUUAAAAGCACUUUCUAAUCUUACUCAAACACUACAAAAGUGCUAUAGAACACUUAGAAUAGGUCAAUCCAAACAAACUUUACAUAAUAUAAACUCAAUCAUACCAAAAAAAAAACACUCCGAUGUUAAGAUUGAUCUGAUUGAAGAUUAAGCAAAGAUCAUAUCACAACAGCACCCUACCUAGCUUAACGGAUUUUCGAUCCACACCUUUCUCAAUCUUCACACCUUUAAUCAUAAACCUCCUUAAUCAUUUGUUCACGUCUUGUAAUUUUCUAAGAAUAGAUUAAGAGUUCGCCAAAGCAACCAACAAUGCAGGAACAACAAACUGCAAUUUUCUACUAAAUCAUGAAACUACAACAGAGUCCAUAUCACCACAGCAUACAACAGAUUCAGUUUACUCCUAGCAAAACACUAAACAACAUGCAAUUUAACCGACAAUACUACAUCUCCAGCUAAACAUCACCAAAUCUAAGCCGAACAAACAAUCAAAAGCAACAAAAUUGUAGAUCUGCAAAUUGAAAUACAGAGAGCAAGAGUUUUGUGAUGCAAACAAUACCUUGAAGACGAAGAAUGGAAUCGCAGUUCUACGAGGCAAAAGGAGAAUAGUAUGAUAAAACAGAAGGGUUUAAAGGAGAGCAAAAUAUGUAAAUGGAGGAGGAAUGAAGAGAAGAGGGGUUUGUGUAGAAUUUUCGAGUUAUAUAUAUUAGCUUUUAUUUAUUUAUAUUUCUUUUUUUUUUUGGAGACUAGGGAGGUUCGAGUGGUCCUAGAUGGGUCUAGAGGUAUUCUAGAAAGUUCUCAUCCUUAGUGCACAAAUAGCCAUAUGUAGAAAGUCCCAUUUAUAAUUUAACCAUUAACCACAUACAUCUGCUCAUGUCAAUUUUCAAAUAGUAUACAUAUAUUAUUUUUUAAAUGUGGUAUUAAUAGAGUAGUUUUGAGAACUAAUCAAAUGUUUUAUAUAACUUUCAAAUAUGCAACAAACUAAAAAAAAAUGAACUAAUAAAUUAAAAUGAAAAGAGUUUCAGAAAAACCUUUAGUUAGAUACAGAUAUGUCAACGAACAACUGCUUACUUCUAGCCGUUUUUAUAUAGUAGUAAAAUAGCUUAAGACUUAAUUCAAAAAGAAGUUAUAUAAUGAUUAAGAAUGAAAUAAUUAAUUAGGUAGUGAUUACUAGAUGGUGAUUGUCCAUGUACGCACGGACCAAACUUAAUAUGAAAGAGUUACAUUUUGGAGUUUCGCCUAUCAAACUUAAUACAAAAUCUUUGGUAGAGAUAAAGUUCGAUAAAUUGUAAGCUAACACCAAAAAAGGGAGCAGUCUAAAGAGGAUUCGGGGGGGAGGGGGGUCAUAAAUAAAAUUAGAAGAUUUGACCUAUUGCAUUCUGAAGGAAGAGAGCUUCAUCAAUUUGUGUUAAUUAAUCCCCUAACUUUCCUUGAGAGAUCAGAGAAAGAGUUGAAAUCAUGAAUUGCACCAACACUAUAACUCCUGAAUGCUAAUAUAUUGACAGGUUUUUUUUUUUUUUUAAUAAAUUACAUCCAUGAAUGGAUGUGCAUCUUAUUUCUUCCAGCAAAAACUUACAUGUUGAUGCACCUUUGAGUUCAAAGGAACUCAACAAAAGUUGUCAGUUCCAUGACUAGCGAUAUGUACAAAAGUAAACUAAUUAACUAACAAAGAAGUUGGCCUUGUCAUAUUUAAUUCUCAUAUUUAACUAACAAAUAUUGACAAGUUUGUUAGCUUCCAUGAAGCAAUGACAGAUGAUCCAUGAGUUUCAACUAUUUGUUAUGAUUCUUGAAUCAACGUAUCCAAUCUCCAAGGCAUUUUCAUUCUCCGUUUAUUCAUUUAGCUAAGAGUAAGAAUCAGUUUCUCUCAAACCCUAUCGUAACAUCUAUUAACCCACUAUUUAAGACCAUAGAGUAGUGCACGACCUUUAGUCAUGUUGCUAGUACCUUGGCCUAGACCCAAAGAGUUAGCAAACAUCAUGUUGUAUUGGUUGUCUGCCUGUCUCUGAUUAGUCCUCCUCCACCACAACACACCAAAUAUAUAUUGAGUGGCAAUUGUUACAAAUAUUAAUUAGACUGUAAUUAGUUGAAAAUUUUGCUAAUAUAUACAUACACAUCAUAUUGUUUUUUUUAUAUAAAAAAAAAAGAAGCAAUUGUGCACUCUUUUUUCUAUAACCCAAAUCAUAUUUAUUAUAUCUUCUAGCGAUUUGGGGUUGCGAUUCGCAGUUUGUAGUAUGUUUUAAAAUUUAUUUGUUAUUCUUAGUUGAUUUGAAGCUUUUAUAAUAUUUAAUACAAUUUUUAUUUUUAUUUUUUAUUUUUGUCAAACUAUUAAAAUUUGAAGUAGUUAACUAGUUUAAAUAGGAUUUGAGACUACUAUUACUUGGAAGGUGUUUGAAAUUUCACAAAUCUACAACAAAAAAUUAAAGUGUUUGAAGUUUUACAAAUUCACGGCAAAAAAAAUAAAUUAACCCACCUUAUUUCGUCCCAUGAUAAAUUUUCAAAAAUUGCAACCUACCCUAUCCAAUCCUGCCCCACAAAAUUUAAAAUUACACUACCUAGCAUAACUUUAAAUCUGCACUACUCUGCAUAUAUCCCGCUUCAUUUUCAUCCCCACUGCUUCAUUCUCCUAUAAAAAGAUCUACAUUUACUUGGUCUCAAACUUCUCAUAGACAUUAACCUAAAUACGUACAAAUAAUUAAAUGAUGUUCGAGUCAUGUGAAAUAAUUAAAAUUUUAAUUUUCCUCAAUUAAAAUGCUUUGUUUUUAACAAAUUCAAUAUUUAAUGUAUAUAAUUAAUUCUUACCUAAACUAAAAAAUGUUCAUAAUUAGAACUCUCAAAAAUUAAAAUAUUUUUUUAUAAAUUAAGAACAUUAAAUGAAUUGAGACAAAUUAUUUUGUACUACAAUCAAUUUUGGAAUUGAAAUCUUGCCAUAAUCAAUUUAUUUCAGUGCUAACGGAUUAAAAGAUAUCUUAAUUAUUUUAAUAAAAAAAACAAUAUUUUUAGCACUUCCCUAAUCAGAUACAUAACUACUUAUUUUAAGUUUCAUCACUUCUAAUCAAACACGUAACUAUUUUAAGAAAAAUUCAAUUUCAGCAUUUCAAAAGUACAUUUAAGCUUAGGUGCUUAAAAACUACUUUAUUCAGCUAAUUCAAAUAGGCUCUAAAUAUAUUUGUUUGCAACAAAUUUUAGAGCCGAGAAAAAUAAAAAUGCAAUCACAAAAAAAUAAACAAACAAGAAUAUUUUAUUGAUUAAUCAAUAUAAGUACAAUUUUGUUUUUCCCUUGAUUCUUCUCUCGUAAUAUUUCUCCAUGAUUCGAAGGUCGUUAGUGGAAUAUUUCUCAAACUAUGGUGAUUUAAAUUUGAUCUCUUCAUGAAUUUGCAGAAUAUUUGAAAUGCCUCUCCAAGAAAAUAUAUUGUCCUUUAUAUAGGCAUGAGAUAGGGUUUAGGGUAGAGUUGUGACGUCCUAACUUAAGACAGGAAGUCCUACAUCGGCAAAAACAUAGGAGAGAUGUUAGGUAUAUAAGUAAGGAGGCCUUACCAAUUAAUGACGUGUUUUAAAGUUUUGCGGACCUAAGCCUAGAGCGGACAAUAUCAUUAGUAGAUCGGAUCGUUACAAAUGGUAUCUGCGUCACUCUUAUGUCAGCCUUGUCGAUUUGGGCCAGAGUUCAACUAAGUUUAAGCAAAUCCUGAUAAGGCGAGGCAAACCUCAGUACUGAGUCUAAGGCAAUCUCAUAUGGUAGGUCAACCCUCAGCGAGGACGUUAAGUUCACAAAGGGUGUAUGUGACGCCUCAACUUAAGACAAGAAGUCCCACAUCGACAAAACACAAGAGAGAUGUUAGGUAUAUAAGUAAGCAGACCGUAUCAACUAGUGACGCGUUUUAAAGUCGUGCAGGCCUAGAUCCAGAGCGGACAAUGUCACUAGUGGGUCGGACCGUUAGAAGAGUAGCCUCCAAUAUUCCUAACUGAAAUCAAACACGUCUUGUAGAGUCUCACAAAAUUUGAAUGUCUACAAUAUUAUAAAUUGCACAUGCAUUUUAAAUAAUAAUUCUAAAAGCGGCUACUUUGUCUCAUUUUAUACUCUAUUAUACUUAGGCUUUAUUUGUUUAUGUUAAGAUUCGGAUGUCUAAAUCUGAAUGUAUAUCUGAAUGAUUAAGAUGUGGUCUCUAGAUCUGAACAUUGAAUGAUUAAGCCUGUUUAUUUUUCAAUAUUUGAAUAUACAUAAUUUAUUUAUAUGUAUAUAAUAAUUAUACAAUUCAAAUAAAAAUUAAUUAGACAUAAAUAAAUUAAUAAAAUAAAAUUAUUAUUUGAUUAAAAAAUGAAGCACUUAGGAUCUGUUUGGAUGGACUUAUAAAUCAAAAGUUAAAAGUCAUAAGUAAAUAAUGGUACCCUUCUUUUGACUUUUGUCAUAUUUUUUUUUAAAAAAAAUAGCCUAAAAAUGGGUGCUUAAUUAUAAUUUUCUAAAUACCUCCAAAACUACUUAAAAGACAAAAACACCUAAAAAUAAGGUAAUCCAAACGGACAUUUGUACUCGCUAGUAAUGAUAGAGAUAGUUUAAAGUGGUGGUAGCGAUGAUAAUAAUUGUUGUUAGGAUGAUAGUGGUGAUAGUUGUGAAAGUGGAGAUGGAUAAUGUUGUGGUGACUAUCAUAACAGUGGUGAUCGAUAAUGGUGUUGGUGCUUGUAAUGAUGAAAUUGGUUGUCCAUAGUUGGCGGUGUUGAUGAUGAUGGCCGAAGAAUGUGUGAUUAUUGGUGAGGCAUUUUGUAGUAGUUGGUGGUCGUGCUAGUUAUGAUAAUGGAGUAAGUUAGCAGUAUAGAUUAACCACGGUGAUGGUAAUAACUAACAAUAGUGGUGGUAGUGGUGAUCCGAGAAUGUAUGGUGAUAGUUGGCGGCGGUGCUAGUUGUGAUGACAGAGUUUGUUGAUACUAGGACUUGACUAUAGUGGUGAUAGUGGUUGAUACUAGUAGUGGAGGUGGUAGCAACUACAGAGACGGGAAUAAUAGUAACAAUGGAUAUAAUCAUAAUGAUGAAAAAGAUAAGAGUGAUAGCAGCUAAUAACAGUAGUUAGCAACAAUGGCGGUUAUGAUAACAGAGGUGGUUGGUGGUAGACGUCGAUAGAGUAGUUGAUAAUGGCGGUGAUGGUGGUUGUGAUAGGAAAAGUGAUUAGUGAUGGUGAGUGGAGAUUGUGAAUAGAGUGAUAGAAAAUAUUAUCCACAUAAGAAUACAUCUUAAUGAUAUUAUGAUUCUAUUUUAAAUUUUAGACUUAUUUAACCUUGUUAAGUAUUUAAAUCUUGAUAAAUAUAAAUACACUUAAUUACAUUUUAACCUCCAUUAAGUACAAGCAAAUAAGACCUUACAAGCAUGCUUGGUUGGAACUUGUAGCUUUUGACUUAUAACCCACAAGACAUAAAUUAAGAAUUUUAGCUUAUAACUUCCAACAUAUUUCUAUAUUUUUUUAGUUUAAAAAGUAGUGAUUAAAGCACAUUUUUAUUUUAAUCAAACACUACAUAUGUCAAAUUAAAGUUUGGACCAAACGGACUCUUUCUCAUUUGAAGCCACAUUCACAAUGUCAGGGUUAGAGAAAUAAUAUAACCAAUUUGAGACAUAUUUAUAAAACUUUAAACCAUCAAUUGUCGAGAGUUGCCGUUUCCUUUCCAUUGUACUUGGUGUUUGCCAUUAUCUUCAAAUAAUUGAGAAACAAAAUAGGCCACUCGUAACAAGCAGUCAUUCCUAAUAACAAGAAACGAAGUAGGCCAUAUAACUAACCCUUUCUCAAUUUGCCAAUGCCCAAAUCAAUAUAAUGAACACUAUGAACCAAAGGUUCAAACAGAUCAAUCUUUGCUUGGAGUACAAACUACUUCAGAUCCUAAGUUUCGGUUGAUACCUCAAGCAAUAGACCAUAAUUGCACGGAAUUAAGAAAACGGAAAGUGCAGAUAUAUUCUAGCUACAAGGAGCCAAACACAGCUCAACAAAUCAUUUAGUGACCAACAGAAAAUGUCUGAGAACAGCAAUUGUACUUAACAUCAAAACCCUCUGAAAAACAGGAUUUUUGAGAGUCGUUAUCAAAUAAUAUAACUUGACAAGACACAUCUAUAUGGCCGAAAUUGAUCACAACAAUUUAAUGACAAAAUCUUUGACUGCUACUAUAGGUCUUUUAAAAUGUAUUAAGGGUAAAAUGCAAAAAGUAAUACAAACCCAACCAAGUUUGUCCCUUCAUCAAACCAUCAACUUAAUUCAUGAAGCACUUGGCAAAGUCUCAGAUUUGUCAGUCUCCAUUGGCUCGCCAGCAGGUGGUACUUCACUGUCAGCACUGGCACCCUCAGUAGCAUUAGGACUCGCUGCACCCUGAGGUUGUUGCUCACCUCCUUGAGGAGGUUGAGGUGACGGUGUUUCAGGAGUUGCUGGCUUAGCUGGCUUAGGCUUUGUCAUUAUAGGCCUACACACCCUGUACAAACAGAUAGUUAAAAAGUGGAUUAAAAGCAGAAGGAGAAACAGGGAAGGAAGAUUAGCCCAAAUGUGGAAGGACAGCGACUAGCAAAUCAAGAAAUGAUAUCAACAAACUUUGCAAUAAAAUUAGCCCAAAUAUUGUGAUCUACAAGUUAUGGCAAAAUCCGACCGGAGGCAAUAACACUAGAUGAUUACUUCUCAUUUGUCCAAGCCUUGGUGUACCAAGAUACCCGAUACCUUUGCUGGCGGAAGGUAGCAGGUACACUGUGGAAACACCACCGUUAUCAAGAAAAAGAAAGGGAAAAAUCAAUAAACAACAGUACCUAUCAAGUGCUUCUGCCUUCUUUCGAACAUCAGCUGACAAAAGAACAGGGUUGGCAUAUUUUGAUAGAGCAUCCUGCUGCUGCUUUUUCUCUCUAAACCAAGCCUCAGCUUCGACACACUCAUUCAAAACCUAGGAAGUGCAAGAGAAACAUAAGCAUCAAACCACAUUCUCAGGAAGAAAAUAGGCCAGCAUUAUGAUGAUGAAAAGGCAAAUAGCAAGAUCAAGCAUACCUUCUGCUUCUCUGCUAAAUCAAUGUGAUCAAACUUGGGAUCACUUGACACUGCCGCCUCUCUGUAACUAUUUAUGCAAUAAAUAAAUUGAUCACUCACAGGACCCCUCUCCGUGUACUCUUUGUAUCGUUGCUCAAUCGGGUCACCUUGCUGCAGAUUCACACCAAAUCAGCUCUAUUUAUGCCAAAAAGACUAGCAAAAAAGGAAAGGCGAGAAACACCGACCUUUUUAAGCUCCUCAAGCUUGGCGAUGUAAACACCCUUAGUUUCAUCCUCUCCAUCAUCAUACAACCAAUCUUCCACUUCUUGAAGUACAGCCAUAAAUUGUUCUCUUUCUGAAUCAGUUACAAACUCUUGAUAUUUAUCUGAAAGCUGGAUAUAUAAAGAAGAAAGUUGUCAGUGACAUACAAAUGUUUUCAUACAACCACCAUAAAAAGCCAACCGAUACCUUAUUCCUCAUGUCGUAAACAUAGGACUCAACAGCAUUCUUUUUGUCCUUUGUCUCUUCCAUAACACGGUCCUGAAGAGCCAUUUCAAAUUCUUUCUCGACAGCCUUCUGAACAUCAGCAGCUGCCAUUGCACCAUAAACAAUCUCAGUCACUGGUACAGAUGUCUUCUUGACCUUCUUCUUAGGGGCUUCGACCUGCAAGAAAAUGAACACUAAAUGCUAAGCUUUACCGACAUCUUUGAGCUAAACACACUGAAACAGAAGAAGAAUUCUAACUAUAACCCCAACAUUAAUUAAGCAAGAAAAGCACUACACUAAUGCCUUUCAAGAAUUAAAAUAUUGGUGAAUUCAUGAGUUCCCUGCAUUUCAUGCAUAAAUCAAAUCCUGACAAUUUGAACAGAUGCCAUAGGUUGAUCUUAUAACAAUCAAGUAUGACUGAUGGAGAAACAUAAACUAGCUCAAGCAGUAAUUAAAAGGCAUGAAAGAGAGACGUUACCUUAGCAUCUGACUCCAUUUGGACAGGUUCAUCUCCAGAUUCUGGAACACCAUUCUCAGCCCCUGAAGCAGCUGCAGCUCCUUUAGCAUCUUCCAUAUUUACAUCAUUUUCCGAUGUAGUUGAAGGAGCAGCAUCAGCUGAACCUUCAUCUGUUUCCAUUCUGGCAGGUCCCUUAGCUGUCUCUUUCACAACUGGGACAUCUACCUCUUCUUCUUCUAAAAGCUAAAUUACAGAAAAAAAGCCAUAAGAUUAGAUGAUAUUCUUUCGAUUUGGGAAAAAAACAAGAACGAGAAAGUCACAAAUCUCUGGACUUACAGUUGCGGACUCAACCGAGACGAUACCAUGCAGGGUUAGGCGUACUUUAACUUUUAGUUUGGCCCUUUCACCCUUUGAAGAUUGGAAUGGUCCAAUCUGUCAAAAAGACCAAACAAAAUCCAAGUCAGCCAAGAUCUCACCUGAAACUAGAGGACAUAUUAUCCUCUAAUUUUUAGAAAAGAAACCAUAGAAACUAACUAAUGAGUGAAAGCCUGAAAUACCGUGUAAGUACUGAUCUUUGCUGGCGCCUGCAGUUCACUGACAUCAGCAUACUGUACAUCUGUUGUAAAUGUGCCAGAUCUGUAGAAUGUCAGAGCUUUCACACUGGGUAUCGGAUUUCCUUUGGGGAAAACAAUUGUGCUCUGAUGAUGCUCUCCAUUUUGUGCAUCAGGGGAAGGCCCCUUCCACGAUAAUGCAAUUGAGAAAGGGAAGCUCUCAUUGACCUUCACAAUCAGCCAACUAGAACUCUUAGUACUUCUUACACUCAGAAAUCACCAUAAUUUAUUCUGCUGGGAACUUUGAUGUGUAACUAGUAAAUAAUCUUUUAGUAAAGGUUAAUAGUAUAGCAUUUGCUUCAACAAAAAUCUUAGUAGUUCUAUGAUAAAUUGUGCAUUUCCUUCAUCCUUCAAGAAGACAAUUUCUUCUAGCUCCAAUUUGUCAUUCAUAUAACCAUAAUAGGUCAUACUCAAACCACUAAAUAAAACAAAGGAAAAAUCGAAAGCAUGUUUCAAAAUUUAUCUUCACUUAUUAAAUUAGUGCCUACUUAAAUAAUAAGGAUCAAGGAUUAUCAACAGCAUUGCAACACAUGAUGAAAUUGAAAUCCCUGAAUCCAAGAUAACUAUGGAACAAUAUAUCAGUCAAGAGAAUGCAAGGUUGACAAACUGUUACCUUGAAUUCUCGCACUUUAAAAGUAGGGCUGAGAAUAGCGCAUUGCAGUGCAGUGCCUUUGGCCACACAUUCACUUGCAUUCAUGGUGCGCCUUGGUUCCUUACCGAAGAACUCUGUCAAAAUCCUCAUAAUUGCAGGCACACGAGAGCUUGACCCAACAACCUCAACUGCAUGAAUGUUCUCAGUAGUAAGCCCAGCUUCAGCAAGAGCUUUCUCCAGUGGUUUCUUCACUCUCUCCAGUAUAGGGAUGCUGAUUUGCUCAAACUCAUCCCUCUUGAUAUACCCUCUGACAUCCUUCUCAUCCAUUAAACACUCUAUAUUCAAAGGUGCCUCAGGGUUUGCACUGAGAACCUUUUUCAACUUUUCACAAGCAGCUCGAAGUCUAAUGCAUGCCUUAGCAUUUUGGAGAACAUCAAUUUUGUAUUCCUCCUUGAACUUUGCAGCAAAAUGAUGGAAAAGAGCUUCAUCAAAAUCCCUCCCACCAAGAUUUCUGUCAAAUGAAUGAGCCAAUAUCUUCAAUUGGCCUUUCUUGAAGCCAGCAAUACAAACUUGCAAGCUUGCAUGCCCAACAUCCACAAAAGCAACAUUCAAUUGGUCAUUUUCAGGUAAAUCCGUCUUGUAAAUACCAUACGCUAAUGCAGUAGCUGUUGUCUCGUGAAUUAGAUGCAAAGGAUGCAAGCCAGCAAUGGUGGCUGCGUCCAUUACAGCUCUCCUCUGAAGAUCAGUGAAAUAAACUGGGAUUCCAAUGCAACAA
rnacentral:lncRNA from 1 species